ACGGGAGGCAGCAGUGGGGAAUAUUGCACAAUGGGGGAAACCCUGAUGCAGCGACGCCGCGUGAAGGAUGAAGUAUUUCGGUAUGUAAACUUCUAUCAGCAGGGAAGAUAGUGACGGUACCUGACUAAGAAGCUCCGGCUAAAUACGUGCCAGCAGCCGCGGUAAUACGUAUGGAGCAAGCGUUAUCCGGAUUUACUGGGUGUAAAGGGUGCGCAGGUGGCAGAGCAAGUCAGAAGUGAAAACCCGGGGCUCAACUCCGUGGAUUGCUUUUGAAACUGUUUUGCUAGAGUCCAGGAGAGGCAAGCGGAAUUCCUAGUGUAGCGGUGAAAUGCGUAGAUAUUAGGAGGAACACCAGUGGCGAAGGCGGCUUGCUGGACUGGAACUGACACUGAGGCACGAAAGCGUGGGGAGCAAACAGGAUUAGAUACCCUGGUA
rnacentral:rRNA from 1 species